rnacentral:rRNA from 1 species
AUUGAACGCUGGCGGCAGGCCUAACACAUGCCAGUCGAACCAUUGGCGGACGGGUGAGUAAUGUCUGGGCAACUUCCUGAUGGAGGGGGAUAACUACUGGAAACGGUAGCUAAUACCGCAUACCAUCAGAUGUGCCCAGAUGGGAUUAGCUUGUUGGUGGGGUAACGGCUCACCAAGGCGACGAUCCCUAGCUGGGCUGAGAGGAUGACCAGCGAGACUGGAACUGAGACACGGUCCAGACUCCUACGUGAGGAAGCAGUGGGGAAUAUUGCACAAUGGGCGCAAGCCUGAUGCAGCCAUGCAGAGUGUAUGAAGAAGGCAUUCGGGUUGUAAAGUACUGGCAGCGGGGAGGCGUUACCCGCAGAAGAAGCACCGGCUAACUCCGUGCCAGCAGCCGCGGUAAUUC